GGAAUCAUCCGAAUAAACUGUUAUGUCUUUAAUAUAAAAGGCAUAUUGAUGUGUUUUACACGCCAAAGUGAAAUCUCCAAAUACAUAUGUUUGGAAAUAAGUCUUAUUUCCAAACUGUACCGGCAGCACACACAAAAAAAAAAAAAAAAAAAAAAAACUUGAAGGCUUUUCUUUUCCUAUUAGCACACAGGAAACGGCGAGGAGAUAAAACUCCAGCCCAGCGAGGCAGUUUAACUGCACGGGGACCAGACGGGAGGCAGGUACAAGCCAGAGACAUUUAUGCAGCUGGGGAUACACAGACUAAAAAUGUACACCCCAAAAUCACGCAGGCCGAACCAUGUGGCAUCAGGCUGGCGAACGCAGAAGGAGCUCGUACGUCACACAGGGAAAGUGGGAAAGAAAACGAACCAGGCUGAUCCAAGUCUCUGCAGGCUUGAAAGCUAAGAAGCUUACUUUUAUAAAAUACACCAGCUGAAAUGACUCCAGAAGAUGCAGAUUUAAGAAGGGCACUACAAAUGGCAAGGCUUUUGAGGGAAGCGUGCAACAUUUGGAAAACAGAAGGAACUGGAAGGAGAGGAGCAGGGGAAAGGAAUGAAGAAGUAAUUGAGAAGAGUAAUUCAAAGACAAAUAAAACCAAGUAAACAACAACAAAAGAGAGAAAGAAAAAUGGAUCAGAGGAAAGGAUAGCUAUCCUUUCCUUUCUUUAUUUCUGAACAUCCAAACAUAGUGUGUUGUCCCUCAUCAGUUUUGCAGAAGGAUGAGGGUACAAUACACAAGACCAAAGGCAGCUAUUGGGAGGGAAUCAUCUAUACUACACAUUUUGUGAGGAUUGUUGCAUAAUUUAUGUAGUUUUGUGCUCUGAACUUCCACUGGCCUAGGUGUACUCACUUCAGUCCGAUGGUGAGACUGCUUUUUUUUUUAGUGAAAACUCACAAGCUGCACAGAAGGCUGAAUAAAAUGCCAGUUUAAUCCUUUGUAUUUGCAAAUUACAAGCACGUAAAAAUUAGGUUCAGUAAUAUUUAGGCUGGCAACUGCAAAUAACAGAAUACUCAGAUUCUCGAACUGCUGUUACUUCUACGCAUUGUGCAUAUUAAAUACGCUCAUUAAGCGCAGCUCAUUCCUUAAAGCAAGCACAGAUAUGUUUGCAGAGCCAGGGCCUUCGCUGGUUACUGAGAACUGUCCCAGAUAGAUAAGAGCAUUCCCCACAGUUGGACCACAUAUUUGCAAACACUAAGCUAUUAAGGUCCCGUCUCACCAAAUGAGAAAAGCACACUCCCAGAUCUCUUCUCUGAAACACCCUUUCAGUUGCAAUUUACUGAUAGCAGGACUGCAUAAACGUAUCAGAGGGCAAAACUGGAUCCUACGUACGGUUGCUAGGCGGGUUAGGAUUACUGUGGCACCUUUUAGUAAUUUCCAAGUUCUAAAUGUUACAACUGCGUGCAUAAUACAACAUUCAUAUGCAUUAAACCUAUUCAGAAAGAGGAGAUUUCUCAUUUUAGAUACAUAGCAUUACUCUAGACGGUGCGCUUUGCAACUCUUUCAUAAUUAAGCUUUCAAAGGAAACAUUUACAUAGAAGAGAAGGGAUGGGCUCCUAUGCGGGUGGCAGUAAUCUGCCCUCCUAAUUUAUUGAAUAAAGGCUGUAAUUGCAGCAAGGAGAUUGGAAUAAUCUAAGCAGAGCAGGUUUUCCCCCAGAUUUCCAUACAAAUCAGGUGAGAUUUGAAGUGACGAUCUCGUAGCAAUGGGAGGACUCUAUGGCAAACCAGUUUCUUCUUUUAUCACGCCUAGGGAGAAAGUUUGCAACCAGGCGCGUCAAUGACUUAGAUGUAAUCCUCUGGCUGCUUGGAGAGCUUUCCAAAAAGCAACCUUUGUGCGCCCGGUUGGCAUGCACAGCACGUUCACAUCUGCGGCCGCAACUUUACGUGGUACAGGAGGAGCCUGGGAAAAAUGUGCGACUUGUUUUAUGAUGGAUAUGGCUUUUAAGAUUUUAAAGCUGAAAUUAACGAGUUAACUCAGUCUAAAUAAAUGUCAAGCUUUGCUUCAGCUAGAGAGCUGUGUAACUCAGCUGGGAACGCUCCCUCUGGAGAAAUUAAGAGCUCAUGUCCCACAGCAGGAUUUGGGCUUGGACCAAGAGCUGGCACUGCAGUGCAGCCCUGCUCGAAGGAGUUUCUGCGUCAGGAUCAAGAUGCCAUUCUUUCUGAUGAGUGAUUAUUGUAUUGUUUUCCCCCUUCUCCUUUGUCCGGGAGAAAAGGCAAACUACUAAGAGCCUCCUUCAGGAAAGGAAAAAUGAUAAAUCCUAUAUCUUAUUCAACAUUUCUCCUCUCGUUAAAUCAAAUUGCGAUUUCCAGAGCUGUACAUUAGCUGAAUCACUGGCUGCAUACUACUCACUCCAUCUGUUUAUAUGGUUGAGUCACUGCAUUACCAAUAUCUAACACGUUGCUUGGAAAGAAUUUUAGGAGAUCUGGAGGAUAAAACCCCAAAGCUCUCUAAGAUAAAGCUCCCUUCUGUACGUUCUGGAGUGCCACGCUCUUCACCGCUCACUUUUGGCUACCAGAGAUGUUAAUUUGAACAAACUUCUAUUUUAAGGAGAAAAAAAAAACUUAUCACUGAAGCACAGAGUAUGCUUAAAAGCUGAAGACUGAACUGUGAUGUAGGAAAACGCUAUUGCCUCCCCUCGUGCGGUGCCUUGCCCUGGGAGUUGCACUGGGGGUUCCAUGGUGAUGGAACAAACAUCUUUCACAACUCCACGUGCCUUUUUUCCACUUGAGAUACUACGAACAGAUUACCUUCUGAGGGCAAACCGUCUGCUUUUAGUGAUGCCAAAAGUUGAGAGCAUCUUGUCGUUGGACUGCAAAGUUUCUUCCAAAAUAUGUGUUAUGCUUAGGAAGAUAUAUUCUCAUUUACGUCACUGUGGAAGGGGUAGGGAGGGCAAAAAAAAAAAAAAAAAAAAAAAAAAAGGGCUGAGGAGCAGAAAAGCAGAAGGACAGAGGUGGAAUGGGGUGGAAUUGCUGAUACACAUCUUGUUUGUUUUAUUUUUAAGAAAAAUGUAAAAAGGACACGUUACAUGAAUCCCACCAUGGAGGACUAUGAAUGCAUUCACAUUAUUCUGGGAGUUGAGAAGCAGAGAGUGAAACCAACUGAAAUAAAAGAAGACCAGUGAGACUAGUUUUACCUUCCAGACCAGGGGCUAGAUCCAACUCUCACAGAAGUCAGUGGAACAAUUCCCACUGGCUGGAGCAGGAGUUGGAUUCAGCAAAGCGAAAUGCAGAAAAAAAAUAACCGGGAAGCAUUAAUGAGAGGUUCUCAAACAGUGGUCUACAGAGCACUUUCUCCAGUCCAUCGAGACCCGGCUUUCCUCUCCAUUACUCAUUUACUUCCAGCUGCUUUUAUGGGUUUCUGCAUUUUGGAGGCCAGCAGAACUGAGGCGUUGGUAGCGGGGAAGGAGAAUGGCCGGCCGGCCAGCCUGCUCCCAACAAGUGGAAGAGGAAAGAAAGCAAUUGCUUAGCAAACAGAGAAAAAAAAGAAAGACGGGAGUAUCUGAAGGAGUAGAAGGCCAUUAAGCUGAGAGGAUUAGGCGGCCUUCGGUGAGGAUUAGGUGCCUCGCUACCUAAUGUGACCGUCUAGCCAGAUACCUGAGCUCCUAGCACAAGGCGAAAGAAAAGCUGAGCUCCGCACACACGUCUGCGCUGAGCUAAAGGCAAAUAGGAAAUGCCAAGGGCAGAAGCGAUCCACAAAUGCUCCCCAUCCUCCCUGCCACGCCUGGGCUGAAAGCAGACGAGCCCCCUGCCAUGGUCCCUGCUGUGGGACUUACACCACCUGCAGGCCCGCGCCGCCAGUCCAGGUGUGACACGCAGUCCUAACACCACAUGGAGACAAAAUCCUCCCUCUGGAGGGGUCACACACCUGGACCAGGCUCUGGAUCAGCCGGCUGUCAAUGUUUGGGGCAGCAUUCCCACUAACGGAGAGCUUUCAGGCUCUUCCUCCACACAGAGGGCUGUUGUCACCAGGGUACGAGGCUGACACAUGGGUGCGUGACCAACCAGGGGGACCUCGUUGGCAACUAAUUCUCAACUGCAGGGCAGUGCUUCCUGCCAACUUCACCUCACAACAACCAUGUGGGCCAAAGUGCCUUGAGUCCCAGCAGUAAACACUUGGUGAAAGAGUGCAAGAAACAUGGCAACAACGGGAUCAGCCUUCCCCUUGUGUCUCUUCGUUGCUCCUGGGGAUCAGCACCUUUCUGAAACCUAAGCUGCAAUCAGGCCAUCACAUCCGAUAGCUACUGACAGUCUUCUCCACCAUUACACUGACAGUCUUCUCCACCAUUAACUCCUCCCUUCCCUUUUCUGAACCCCCUUACAGACUGCAUUUCUAUAAUGUCCUUUUGCCAGCCAGGAGUUGAGACCCCUAAGCCUGCCCCUCCUCACAAGGACGAGGAGGUACAGGAGACUUCCCAGACAUUUUCACCAAGGUUUAUUAGCAAGAAGGCGUUCCAGGAAAGAAGGGACAAAUCAACAGCUUGUGGAGCAUUAGGGUACAGAGAUCCCUACCCAGGCUCUGCAUGACAUAGCUUUGGCUCUGGAAGCAGCAGGAGUAAUACCAAGCCCAUGCUGUGCCCGGGUCAGCGGGUGGGCUGCGCGGCAAGGCGAGUCAGCUGGAGACCGAGCACUACGUGAGCCCAGCAGUGCUGCUUGUGGGAUCCAUGCUGUACCCCUGCCAAGCUCUGCUCUUUCCUCUGAGACAUACUGGCCUGUUCAGACCUGAGCCGGGCAUCUACAGCGCCAAGCUGCUUUGUGCCACACGGGCAUGUCCCGAGAGGCCUGCUCCCCAAGCUCUGCGCUGCCCCAGGACGCUGGCCCACCUUCGUGAUCCAUGCAGGGUCUCACCUGGAGGCUUCAGGGCAGUGACUUUUAUCCCCCAGAGCAGGUGCAGAUUUGCAGUGAGAGACUUAAAACCUCCAAACUGUUCGCUGUUACAGUCCCCAGCCCCUAAGGCAAGGUGAAUUUUUUGGCUUGCCCAAUAACCUGCUGCUGCCAUGCACGGCUUCCUGAUGACCUGACCCCAGCAAAGUUCUCCAGAAGACCUUGGUGAGGACCAAAUGAGUUACCCUGGAUAGGGGAGAGCUAGCCCUCAGCUCCUAGCCCCAACACAGUCAUGCUGCCUAGUGUUUUCUGUCAUACCCAGGGAAUUUCAGGCCCUGGAGAAGAAGCAUUAACAACUCAUUCUCUUUUACUAACGUAUAAGGCAUAGGGGAUGGAUUUUCCUUUGUGAAAUGUAGUAAGUGAAGUUCAUACACAUUGCAUCACUUUUAUAAUAUUCUGCAUAUUUUGGUGGCUUUAGCUUCAAAGAUAUGGCACUGCAGAGGCCUUUGAAAACUGCCAGAAACAUUACUGCUUAUGACUUUGUACCUGUCGGUGGAAAGCAGGAGUCAGCACUGCAGUCCGUUCCAUAUCUAACCAACACGCUCCAUCAGUAGUUUAAAGCAUCAGAAAAGGCAGCAAUAAACUAAGCUCUGAAUGGGCAGGUUAUAUUCCCUCAAAAUUUCAGAGACUUAGAGUUCAGCUUUGUCCCUAGGACCUGCUUCUCUCAGUUCCCACUUUUGGGGUAUUGUCACUGCACCCUGGCACUGCCUUCUAAAAGUGAUCGUGCUUCUGCUUUUCCAGUUGUGCAGGAACCGAAAAGCUGGAUCAGACCAGUAUACUUAUUUCAGUAUGACAUCCCACGUAUAAAAUGUGUGCCUAUUUCAGAGAUUAGUCUUCCUUAUUCUUCUUAUUUCAAUCAGACACACAAAAACAAACACAAAACAUGCUUUUUUUUUUCUUUUUUCUUUUUUUUUUUCUUCUUUCUCAGUACUAUUUCACAGUACUGCGUGCAUCCACAGGACGAUGGCAUUCUUUUGACAGCUAGUAAGCGUAUUCCCUGACCAUACAAUCUCCAAAGACAGAAAGCUGCCUAGCUUUUGUCCUGCAAAGCUGGUGCAACAGACCGCAUUCGCACCGUGAGAUGCAAUUCUACCUACUCCUAGGAACAGUAGCUUUCUUUUUUAAAACCCAGGAACAGCAUUUCGUAUUAUCAAAGGUUUGGUAUUUUCUAUGUUUUCCCCCAAUUAGUGUAACAGAAGCUGCCUGUAGCCACAACCUGUAGCGACUAUAAAUUCCAGCUGCUCCCCACAUAGCAGCGGGACGCUGCUGGUACAAUAAAACGUCAGAACAACAGGAACGUUCAGAGUCCUCGCUUUCCCGUCGUACCCAGACCCAGCCUUGCCCCUUUCUCGUACACCAGUUCGGUUUUGUAUCACCGUCUCCACAGCUGACAAUACUUUUUUCAAUGGGAAUAUCACAACUGCGGCCGCUGCCAGAAUCUCUUGGCAAAGGGGCUGCGCUCUGAGUCACAGCCUAAUGCCAUUACAAGGUCUGCAACAGCUGCAGCAGUCAUACAUCUGCAAGUCAUUUGAACAUUUUAUGAUGAAUAAAAACUAUCCAUUACAUAGACCUAUACAUUAUAUAUUAACCCUAAUACUUAUUCAGUUACACUAACAAUAACCUUUUCCCUCUGCAUGCUGUAAACUUCUUUGGCUGCAGCAUGUGUUAACAGAGAUACUUAAAGCUCCGUUCCAUGGUGGAGCAGUCCCUGUGUACGUAUUACCUAACUUAUUCUACCUAUUUAAAUAUGUGAUGGAAAGAAAGAAAGAAAACAAAUUUAAAGCUAUAAAAAAUCAUACCGUGCGUGAGGAAAGCAUUUCUAUAAUAAUAGCGUGAGACUGGAUUCACUCAAACAAACACAGAAGACACAAGACAACGAGAAAUAGAGAGGAGGAAAGAAAACAUGGACUCAAAACGUAUAGCUAGGAGAUUUGAUUAUGAUAUGCACGGAUCUCAAACCUAUCCAGAUGUCCCCAGCCGGCAACCUGAUCCUCAACACCGUAGCCAAGAUCUGAAAUCUAGAAAGUCAGAGUGUCGAAGAAGGGGUAGCGGGGCUUACGGAAAAAGGAACGGGAGCUGUGAGGAGUUUUGAAACCUUUAAAGCAAUAAUGAUAAUAAAGAAACACAAGUGUGUGUUCAUUAAGGAAAUAAUAUACAGAGCCACAAAUUAUGAAGUCAGCCCUUCAGGACAUGGCAUUCCUCAUGCAAGUUGCUGAGCACGCUCAACAUAAAUAGGUGUAAAAUACACUCACCGGCUUAGUGACUUCAAGGAUAGAGUCCCAUAUGUGAUCCCCUACCAGUGAGUCUUCUACAUACGUAUACUUUUACAACAGUAAAUGCAAACUGGGCAAGACAUACCUCCCUAUGAGUUUCACCAAAAGAGUUUUAAAGAGACAAGGCAAAAGUCUGGCAUUAGAGAAGCCUAUCCUAAUUUUUCCACGUGAUUCAUCCAGAGCCAAAAUUUUACCAGCAUCCCACAUACAUCUUACUUUUAUUUCAUGUUAGUUUGUUAUUUAUUGCUUGCAAACUCUUUUUGGAGCCUCGGAAAUACCUCUCUAUUGCUUCCUAUUCACUUUUGCUUUGUAAUUCGUGUAUCAGUCUAGCGUCCUUCCUCAGUGUUGCUGAGGAAGAGGAGUGUCAAUUAACAUGCUCUUCCACGUUCAGCUAGAUGUGUGGAUUAAUUUAAGCUACAAAAUAGUGCAGGUUUUAAAUAAGAAAUAGCUAUAUUUGGGUAGCCUCACGGUUAGAAAAGUGACUUUUAGAAAAUGUUUCCUUGAGUCGGUCUGCUUCCUCUGUGCAGUCAGAGGCCAAACUGUUUAUUUUACUGGCAACCGUCUUUAUUGCUAGUGCUGGUUUUAAUAUUUCCAUUUGAAUGAUAUAAACAUUAAAAAUGAGGGAAAAAAAAAAUCCUAACAAGGUUACAAACAGUUCAUUUAAAGGGGAUUUGAAAGGCGUCCAGCAGAGAUCUUUCUUAGCGUGUGUUACG